AGAAUCAACGCUGGCGGCGUGCCUAACACAUGCAAGUCGAACGCGAAAGCCCCGCAAGGGGUCAGUAGAGUGGCAAACGGGUGAGUAACACGUGGGUGACCUGCCUUCGAGGUGGGGGAUAACGUCCCGAAAGGGACGCUAAUACCGCAUGACAUCCUGCCUUUGGAAAGGUGGAGAUCAAAGCUGGGAUCGCAAGACCUGGCGCUUGAAGGAGGGGCCCGCGCCUGAUUAGCUAGUUGGUAGGGUAACGGCCUACCAAGGCGACGAUCAGUA
rnacentral:rRNA from 1 species